rnacentral:misc_RNA from 1 species
GACGAGGGGUCCUAGCGUUGUUCGGAAAUAUUGGGCGUAAAGGGUGCGUAGGUGGCCUUGUAAGUCAGUUGUGAAAGCCCCGGGCUCAACCCGGGAAGUGCUUCUGAAACUGCGAGGCUUGAAUGUUGGAGAGGUGAGUGGAAUUCCUGGUGUAGUGGUGAAAUACGUAGAUAUCAGGAGGAACAUCGGUGGCGAAGGCGGCUCACUGGCCAUACAUUGACACUGAGGCACGAAAGCGUGGGUAGCAAACAGG